CCUACGGGAUGCAGCAGUGGGGAAUAUUGCACAAUGGGGGAAACCCUGAUGCAGCGACGCCGCGUGGGUGACGAAGUAUUUCGGUAUGUAAAGCCCUAUCAGCAGGGAAGAAGAUGACAGUACCUGACCAAGAAGCCCCGGCUAACUACGUGCCAGCAGCCGCGGUAAUACGUAGGGGGCAAGCGUUAUCCGGAUUUACUGGGUGUAAAGGGAGCGUAGGUGGCAUGGCAAGCCAGAAGUGAAAACCCGGGGCUUAACCCCGCGGAUUGCUUUUGGAACUGUCAGGCUGGAGUGCAGGAGGGGCAGGCGGAAGUCCUGGUGUAGCGGUGAAAUGCGUAGAUAUCAGGAGGAACACCGGUGGCGAAGGCGGCCUGCUGGACUGUAACUGACACUGAGGCUCGAAAGCGUGGGGAGCAAACAGGAUUAGAUACCCGGGUAGUC
rnacentral:rRNA from 1 species